rnacentral:rRNA from 1 species
CAUGGCAGGAAUCCUGAAGAGAUUGGGAGUGCUCGAAAGAGAACCUGCACACAGGUGCUGCAUGGCUGUCGUCAGCUCGUGUCGUGAGAUGUUGGGUUAAGUCCCGCAACGAGCGCAACCCUUGCCAUUGGUUGCUACGAAAGGGCACUCUAAUGGGACUGCCGGUGACAAACCGGAGGAAGGUGGGGAUGACGUCAAGUCCUCAUGGCCCUUAUAGGUGGGGCUACACACGUCAUACAAUGGCCGGUACAGAGGGUAGCCAACCCGCGAGGGGGAGCCAAUCCCACAAAGCCGGUCGUAGUCCGGAUCGCAGUCUGCAACUCGACUGCGUGAAGUCGGAAUCGCUAGUAAUCGCGGAUCAGCAUGUCGCGGUGAAUACGUUCCCGGGUCUU